rnacentral:lncRNA from 1 species
CGUGGAGCUGUCAGAAGUGCCAUGAUCUGGAAGAGUCCAUCUGAAAGAAGGUUUGAAGUCUACUUGUGGCUCAAAUGGUUUUGAAGUAAGAUUGGACUUGUCUUCCUGUUCUGCUCCCCUUGUAUGCUGGUUGGAUGUGGAGGCUCUAGUAGAGAACAUCAAGGGCUUAGAAGAAGAUGGGAGGAGACUGGAAUCCAGAAAUACCCCUGGGAGGCUGCCUGCCAAACAACUUACUGGACCAUGGAGAGUGCUGACAUCAGCCAGGAUUUUGAAGUAUGUGAAUUCCAGUCUCCUUGUUGGUUGGGAGAAGAUGACCUUGAAAGAGCACUGGAAACAGAAAGGAAAGCUACCUUGCCUUGCUCCUUAAAUCAAUUCUCAGAGAACAGUGCUGGCCUCUCCACUGCCAUACAGCAUUCUUUAGUUUUAGGAUCUCUAAUUGGCUUCCAUCACUCCCAAGUCCUUCCAGUUUGAAAAACACUUGAAUUGAUUGCUUUUUGGAGAUCUCUUCCAGAUUUGUCUUAUGGGCGGUCUUGUGGUUUAGUUAUUUAUAUCACAG